UGUUACUACCAAAAAUAGCACCAUUUUCAUACCACAAUGACACAGAUCAACCAAAAUGCGAUAGUCUGAUCCGAAUCUUGAGAUCGUUGCAUUUCAAUUCAUAUUGCUCCAGCUUGUGAUUUUGAUCCAUUUAGGCAGUUAAUUAAUUCACAGAGAUCAUUGCGUUUCAAUUCAUAUUACUCCACCUUGUGUUUUUAAUCCAUUUCGGCACUUGAUUAAUCCACAAGCAACACGUUUCAGCGACAUGACUGAGGUGAUUUCAGAUCAAUUCGUUGAGGCAAAUAAUGGAUCGAAAAAUGUGGUGGAUUUGGGGUUUGUUGUUGGCGAAUUGACACUGGAAGAUGAUGCAGCCAGUGAUGAUGAUGUGGCACUGGAGGGGCUGGAGGAAGAGCUACAAGAUUAUAAAACUGAUAAUGUAGUCACCAUGAUACUGUCGAAAGGCACAUCUUCGCGAAAUUACACCAAGGAUGUCGAGCACAAUCUAAGGCGGAUAGAGCUCGACUCUAUUCAGGAAUAUAUCAAAGAUAGUGACAAUCUAAUCUCACUUCAUGAACAAAUUCAUGAUUGUAAUACCAUCCUAUUGCAAAUGGAGAAGCUUUUAAGUGGAUUUCAGGCUGAGAUAGGUUCAAUAAGUUCAGAUAUAAAGGUUCUUCAAGAAAGAUCUUUGGAUAUGGGGCUAAAGCUGAAGAAUCGCAAGGCAGCUGAAUCAAAACUGUCUAAAUUUGUCGAGGACAUCAUUGUGCCACCAAGGAUGAUAGAAAUAAUAGUCGAUGGAGAGGUGAAUGAGGAAUACUUGAAAACGCUUGAGAUUCUAAGUAGGAAGCUACAGUUUGUUGGAAGUGAUGCCAUGUUGAAGACUUCCAAAGUGAUAACUAAUGUUCAGCCUGAAGUUGAGAAGCUUCACCAAAAAGCAGUUUCUAAGGUAUUUGACUUCAUCAUUCAGAAGCUAAACGCACUGAGGCGGCCCAAGACUAAUGUUCAAAUCCUUCAACAAAGUGUUCUUCUGAAAUACAAAUAUGUAAUAAUGUUUCUCAAGGAGCACAACAAAGAGGUAUUUAUUGACAUCCGUGCUGCAUACAUUGACACCAUGAAUAAGGUUUUAGGUAAAAACGUCCAAGCUUAUAUUCAUGCCUUAGAGAAGUUGCAACUGGACAUAGCAACAGCUGCUGAUUUGAUCGGUGUUGAAACCAGAAGUACUAGUCUAUUCUUGAGAGGGGAACCUUUAAAGAACCGCUCUGCUGUUUUUGCUUUGGGAGAUAGGAUAAAGAUUCUUAAGGAAAUUGAUGAGCCUGCAUUGAUUCCUCAUAUUGCUGAAGCCAGCUCUAAGAAGUAUCCUUAUGAAGUUCUAUUCAGGAGUUUGCAUAAGCUGCUUAUGGAUACUGCUGCUUCCGAAUAUCUUUUCUGCGACGAAUUCUUCAGAGAACAGCCUAUGUUUUAUGACAUAUUUGCAGGCCCCUUUACAGUAAUUGACGAACACCUGAAUACAGUUCUACCAAAUUUUUAUGAUGCAAUUGGUCUGAUGCUCAUGAUUCGCAUUAUACACCAGAUUCAGCUUAUAAUGUCUCGGAAGCGGCUACCGUGUCUAGAUUCGCACUUGGAUAAGGUUAACAUCUCUCUGUGGCCGCGAUUUAAGAUGGUAUUUGACAUGCACCUCAGCAGCCUACGCAAUGCCAAUAUCCGGACAUUGUGGGAAGACGAUGUUCGUCCACAUUAUGUCAUGAGACGCUAUGCAGAAUUCACUGCAUCUCUAAUUCAGCUUAAUGUUGACUAUGGAGACUGCCAGCUUGAACACAACUUGGAAAGACUGUGGCUGGCUGCAGAUGAUUUGCUUGUCAAGCUUGCUGCAUUGUUCCAGAAACCCAAGCAACAGACCGUGUUCGUCAUAAAUAACUACGACAUGACAAUUUCUGUACUCAAGAUGAACACACAACAAUGUCCAUGUCUGUCAGGUCAGUUCCACAUAUUUGCAGAGAGUAAUAUUUUUUCUGUAAACAGUAUGCAACCGUCAUGUUAGUUCAAAACAUCGCUGUUUAUCGUUCAGGAAGCUGGUCCCGAGGAGGGUAGAAUCCAUAUGCACCUCGAAGAGCUGCUCAAGAGCAAUACGGCCAUUUAUGUGGUAACUGAGAAAUGAUAUACAUCUUGUGAAGUCUAACUGAUCUCAUCUAGUCUCUUCUUUCCUUUUACUUUUUGAAAAAUCUAUCUAUAGAGGCCAAAAAUGAUCGCAAACGAUAAAAAUGAGAAAGAAAUACUACCUCCGUCCAUGAAAAAAUCGUCAUAUUUUUCCAUUUUAGUCUGUCCACCAAAAUUAGUCACUAUUUAUUUAUGCUAAGUUUCUCUAAUGGGGUGAGUUUCCGCUAACAAUACUUCAAUCACAUUUUCUAUGUAUUUCUCUAUUAUUUUACUAAUUUUGUGUUAAAAUUCGUCUCGUCCACUAUCAAGGUUAUUUUCCGCCUAAUGUUUAAGUUUCUCUUGGGAUGAUUAAAAGGUUUUCUGCAGGAGGAGCUACUACAGGAACACUUCAGCAACCUGAUCAAGUUUGUCAAAACCAGAGCCUGUGAGGACCCGAGCUUGGGUCCGAGGCGCCCAAUCAGCGUGGCAGAGGUCGAGCCUAUAGUAAAGGACUUCGCGAGCAGAUGGAAAGCCGC